AGUGAACGCUGGCGGUAGGCCUAACACAUGCAAGUCGAACGGCAGCACAGUAAGAGCUUGCUCUUACGGGUGGCGAGUGGCGGACGGGUGAGGAAUACAUCCGAAUCUACUUUUUCGUGGGGGAUAACGUAGGGAAACUUACGCUAAUACCGCAUACGACCUACGGGUGAAAGCAGGGGAUCUUCGGACCUUGCGCGAUUGAAUGAGCCGAUGUCGGAUUAGCUAGUUGGCGGGGUAAAGGCCCACCAAGGCGACGAUCCGUAGCUGGUCUGAGAGGAUGAUCAGCCACACUGGAACUGAGACACGGUCCAGACUCCUACGGGAGGCAGCAGUGGGGAAUAUUGGACAAUGGGCGCAAGCCUGAUCCAGCCAUACCGCGUGGGUGAAGAAGGCCUUCGGGUUGUAAAGCCCUUUUGUUGGGAAAGAAAAGCAGCAGGUUAAUACCCCGCUGUUCUGACGGUACCCAAUGAAUAAGCACCGGCUAACUUCGUG
rnacentral:rRNA from 1 species